UACAGAGGGGGCAAGCGUUAUUCGGAAUUAUUGGGCGUAAAGGGCGCGUAGGCGGCUUGGCAAGUGGAUGGUGAAAUCCCUCGGCUUAACCGAGGAACUGCCGUCCAAACUGCUUCGCUUGAGACCGGGAGAGGUGAGUGGAAUUCCCAGUGUAGCGGUGAAAUGCGUAGAUAUUGGGAGGAACACCAGUGGCGAAGGCGGCUCACUGGACCGGUACUGACGCUGAUGCACGAAAGCUAGGGGAGCAAACAGG
rnacentral:rRNA from 1 species